CUGACCUCUACAACCUGGACAGUUCAUUGGCCCACAGAAGCGAGGUGGUGGGUCCGCCAUGUUGCACUUCCGAAAUACAGGUUUGUGUACAAUGCGACUGCAAGUUUUGUUUUGAGGAAUUUAAUCGUUAAAAAUGCCUACAUGUUCUGCAAUCAACUGCUCGAACCGAUAUUAUAAAGGAUGUGGACGGACAUUUCAUUCGUUCCCAUUCAGCCGCCCGUCUGUACUUGCAGUAUGGAUGGGCAAUAUGAAGCGAGAUUUGUGGACACCCAA